GUCUAUGGUAGAGACCAAGCCUGAAACAGCCGGCGGAUUGAUAAAAUAAAAAAAGUUUUAAAAUUAAAAAUUGAAAUUGUAAAAACAAGAUUUAAGGCCAUAAAUCAAAAUCGUUAUUAUUUAAACUGCGCAUAACUCUAACCAAAGAAUCGUUAGAUAAAAAGUUUGAACGGAAAGUUGGAAUGUGAAAGGAGUCGGUUGAUCUGUUAUUGGCGGAAGGGACUCUAAGGCUAACACGCUCAAGGAGACGCGGAGCAUCAAAUUUACCCUGGAUUAAUUUUAAAAGGAAGAUACGAUCCACAAUUAAUCGCCUGUCCUCGAGGGAGAGUAGAUUAAGCACCUCUAUGACAAGUUGAUAAGGAUUCCAAAUAGCUGACCUAUAGUCGAGAAUUGAACGUAUAAGAGCAGACAAGGUGCUGAGUUGAAUUGUUUAAUGUGGUGGCGCAUGAAUCCCAGAAGACGUAAGGCCUUACAAGUGACAUAAUCAAUAUGAGGUCUGAAGGAAAGUAAGGAAGUAUAUAUUAUACCUAAAAAAGAAGAGAUUUGAAAGCGGGGGAAACCCAUGAUGGGAAGGUUGAUCUACGGAAUGAUUUAAGCGGAACGAACCGUUGAAUGGCGUCAAGAAUAGAUACCUGUAACCUUAAUUUAUAUUAAAUAAUAUAUUUAUAUUUUAAUAAACAA